UUUACAUCCAGUGAUGUAAAAGAGCCCAGUUUGACUGGCAUGUUCACGAGCAAGCAGUAAAUUGCCCUUUGCCUCUUAGGCCGCCCGUUGUGAAUCGCUUGUGGGCGUGCUGGCAGCAUAUAAUACCUUUUUGAUUGAGCGUCAAUAAUUCAACAUAUGAAGUAUGUAUGAAGGUCUGGUUAUUAAAUGCCUAAAUAGUUCGAUAGUAAUAUGCUUUUAAGACGCUCUGGUGACGAACACACUUUGCUUCCCUGUUUCCAAUUGUCCACAUGGAUGGGAGAACCUAUUCAAGUAAGUAACGUUAAAUACAUUUCGAAAAUGUAAAAAAAAAAACGAUUUAUUAUUAGUUAGCUACAGUGCAGGCUAACUCAUACGCUGCUAAAUGAGCUAGCCAACUUGACAUAAGGUGGGUGAAAAGAUAGCAGCCCCAACUCAAAGCGAGAGAGUAGGCUAUUCUGGAUAGGGAAGGUACUUGUGUAGUUCCAGUCCCUAGAAGUGAGGCUGGAGAUAAUAGUAACAUAAUAUUCAGUGCAGUGUAAUGAAGUCUGUUUCUUGUGAGGCUUUCUGUCCUCAGAUAAAGAGAGCUAUGAAAGCCUGUCUAGAGAUAAAGAUGUCCCAAUGAAGGGCAGCGGUUCAAAGUCCUGGCCCUGGGGACUCAAAGGGGUGCACGUUUUGCUGAUACAAAUGAUCAACUCUUCAUCAAGCUUCAAGUGAUACCUUGUAACGAUUGCCUACAGUUAAGAUGUAGGGCACUGCAAGGUUGGGUGACCAGGGCCACCUGGGACUGCCUCCUGGAGGAAUUCAGGUGUGUGAAGGCUAACUGUGCUGUCCUGCAUAACUUCAUGAGAAUGGACACGUGGACCAGGAGGGGAUCUGCAGCUCGCCGCUGUGUGCCAGAGGAGAUGUCUACUGCUCUGCAGGAUGUUUCAAGGAUGGGGUCCAACAACGCAGCAAGAGGCAAUCCGUGUGCGGGAGAUCUUCACCUCCUACUUCUUCAAAGAGGGUGCUGUUCCUUGGCAACACUAUAGACUACACUAUGCACAACCAAAGGCUCUUUUAAGAGCCAUCCACAUUACAAUAAGAGUAUUCUUCCAUUUACUUAGCGAUGUCAACUGCAGUUAUUACAUUCCCAGUUUCUCUCCCUUUGAUUUCUACUUCUCAGGUGUGGAUGCUGUUUAGGUAAGGGUGUAAUGCCAAAACAAAAACAGGCUAUUUUAAGUCACCCAUAUUGAAAAAAAUUAGAACAAUUAGACACCCUAUAACCCACACCUACACACUCAUGUAUCAAUCUGAUUGAUGGAUUGUGUUGUGCAGUAAGCAGGCUCAGGUGUAUACCUGGCUCCUUCCACCUUCAAAGAAUAGGUAAGAGAGCCUACCAUGGAGAAUAGUAAGACACUUCCUUAUUUCUAUAACUACGCAAUAUUGUUUGUCCUCGUGUGUCUGUGUGUAACAGUAUAGCUUCCCAUCCCUCUCCUCGCCCCAACCUGGGCUCAAACCAGGGACCCUCUGCACACAUCAACAGUCACCCUCGAAGCAUCGUUACCCAUCGCUUCACAAAAGCAGCGGCCCUUGUAGAGCAAGGGGAACCACUACUUCAAGGUCUCAGAGCAAGUGACGUCACCGAUUGAAACGCUAUUAGCGCGCACCACCGCUAACUAGCUAGCCAUUUCACAUCGGUUACAUGUGCAUGUUUUUCAGCAUAAAGUACUCUGCAGCCACUUAGUGUGGACACCUGGUGAGGCCUCGCACACAGAUUCCUGUUGAACGCUGUCUCUUUAACUACCUUAUUUUCUCAAUAAGUCUUUCCCCUUCACUUCAUCCCUCUCUCCCCCCUUCUCCCUAAAUCCUCUAAGUGAUAUCAGCUGUGUCUGUGAACCCUUCCCGCAUCUGAACUGGCUACACAGAAGGCACAGCAUGAUCAGAGUUGAGGUCACUUGGUCGGGUCAACAGGAACUAUUAUUAAAGAGAUGCUUUACAUUGAAA